GCCAAGGUGGCGGAACGGUAUACGCGCAGGUCUCAAAAACCUGUGAGGAUAAUACCUCAUGAGGGUUCGAAUCCCUCUCUUGGCA
rnacentral:tRNA from 1 species